rnacentral:rRNA from 1 species
UACGUAGGUGGCAAGCGUUGUCCGGAUUUAUUGGGCGUAAAGCGAGCGCGGGCGGUUCCUUAAGUCUGAUGUGAAAGCCCACGGCUCAACCGUGGAAGGUCAUUGGAAACUGGGGAACUUGAGUGCAGAAGAGGAGAGUGGAAUUCCAUGUGUAGCGGUGAAAUGCGUAGAUAUAUGGAGGAACACCAGUGGCGAAGGCGACUCUCUGGUCUGUAACUGACGCUGAGGCUCGAAAGCGUGGGGAGCAAACAGGAUUAGAUA